rnacentral:rRNA from 1 species
AGUCGAACGGCAGCACGAGAGCUUGCUCUUGGUGGCGAGUGGCGAACGGGUGAGUAAUAUAUCGGAACGUAUCCAAUAAUGGGGGAUAACUAAUCGAAAGGUUGGCUAAUACCGCAUACGCCCUACGGGGGAAAGCAGGGGAUCUUCGGACCUUGCGUUAAUGGAGCGGCUGAUAUCUGAUUAGCUAGUAGGUGAGGUAAAGGCUCACCUAGGCUUCGAUCAGUAGCUGGUCUGAGAGGACGACCAGCCACACUGGAACUGAGACACGGUCCAGACUCCUACGGGAGGCAGCAGUGGGGAAUUUUGGACAAUGGGGGCAACCCUGAUCCAGCCAUUCCGCGUGAGUGAAGAAGGCCUUCGGGUUGUAAAGCUCUUUCGCAAGGGAAGAAACGUUACGAGCGAAUAACUCGUGAUAAUGACGGUACCUUGAUAAGAAGCACCGGCUAACUACGUGCCAGCAGCCGCGGUAAUACGUAGGGUGCGAGCGUUAAUCGGAAUUACUGGGCGUAAAGCGUGCGCAGGCGGUUUUGUAAGUCAGAUGUGAAAUCCCCGAGCUCAACUUGGGAACUGCGUUUGAAACUACAAGGCUAGAGUAUGGUAGAGGGGGGUAGAAUUCCACGUGUAGCAGUGAAAUGCGUAGAGAUGUGGAGGAAUACCAAUGGCGAAGGCAGCCCCCUGGACUAAUACUGACGCUCAUGCACGAAAGCGUGGGGAGCAAACAGGAUUAGAUACCCUGGUAGUCCACGCCCUAAACGAUGUCUACUAGUUGUUGGGAGAGUAAAAUCUCUUAGUAACGCAGCUAACGCGUGAAGUAGACCGCCUGGGGAGUACGGUCGC